UAUAUAUAUAAUAUUUCCCAAAGAUGCUUAAAUAUCAACUUAGAGAUGAAAAAUGGCGGAUGCGAAGGGAUCGGUUUAUCCAGCAGAGGGCGCCUGUUCUCUACGAAAAUUUCUGCAAGCAUGCAUCACAUAUACGUAUACGUAUGCACGAGCGAACAGCUGCGUUUGAUUCGUACGGUAAACUCAACGUUCUAAUUACGACAAUUGGCUGUCAUUGUUCUUAGACAUAUACGUAAGACUAGGAGAACGAUUAACGUGAUGGUAACCAGUGACUACUUGGAAACUGUGGCCCUACGGCGCUCGCGACGAACAUUUUCGAACUGUACGUGAAAUUAAGGUCGAUUGUUAAUAAUAGAAAUGAGACAAAGAUGUCGGAUUUAUUAUUAGCAUACGUUUUUAAAUAAUCUGAUUUAAUUUGAGAUAUUGUCGAUUCAAAGACAUUUUUAUUUUGUACAGGACGAUUCAUAUUAUUAGUUGUUAUAAUAUUUAACCUUCAAUUAGUAUCGUUUAAAUCGUAGAUGGCGUAUUAAUAGUAAAUCUGUUGAUAUGACAAUUUUUAUUUUGUAAUAUCAUAGUAUAAUAUUAUUAUAUUUAUUUGUUCUAAUUUUAUAAUAUAGUUGAUUUUUGAUCUAUGAAUAUGGAUCUAACUGAUUCUUGAAAAAUUAAAAAUUGUAUAAUAAUUUUUAGCUAUGCAAGAAAUUGAUGUUCCUAACCUCAUUCAAGACUCAUUUUCUCGGAUAUCUCUUAGGCAACAAUAUUGCGACAGGAAGAAAAAAGAAAAGAAGAUUAAACGCCAUGCUAUUUUCCUUCACGCUAAAUAUGAGAAUUAAAUUCAUAACCGCAAUUCCAUUCGUGAUAUUUGACGGAGCUAAUGUGGUGGAACGAUGGAUUGACGCGUGUAAUUAGAAAGCACAUACGCGCAUUUACGCGGAAUCGGCGCGUUUGUUUUGCAAUUAGUGAGUUGCAAGUAGGUUUUAAACAAUUGAAUUGCAACGUUCACCCAUCGUUGGUUUUUUUAUGGAUCAACGGGAUAACUAGCUUUGAUAACGAAGGAUAAUCGUUGGGCUGGUCUUUCAGUGAACUUUAUUGUCAUCGCAGCUAUUGUCAUCGAUCGUCAGUUUAGAAAUCACUUUGAAGAAACAAUAAUUAUCAUUAUCAUAUUAUAUUAAUGGGAUAACUUUAUAUUGAACUUGGAACGAUAUUAAAGAUAUAUUUUAAGAACAAAAAUAUAAAGACAAAACAAAAUAAAGGAAGUGUUUCAGCAAUUGGUUGCUUCUUUAGGAGCAAUUUGGGUGCUAAUUAACCAAAGCUGAUUGGGUGCAUUACAAUCGAUCUUUCCCAUAGAAUGGCGAUAUGCAAAAUUCGACAUUAGCCAAAGCGUGAUCUAUCGGCGUCCUUAAUUAGUUAGCUCGCCACAUUUAUCUCUAGGAAACAAAAAAAAAAAAAGGAUAAAAGUGAGAGUAUUCCUAGGGGACGUGAACCUUCACGUAACGAACCGAUCGAGUUACUCGGAAGCUGUGCUUAGGCUAAUUUCAUCGGCGAUCGAUUUUCUAUUUCUCACGAGGUUGGACGUUGAACCAGUCUUUUCCUUUCUAAGAAUAGAUGAUUGUAUAAAUAAUAUUGCUCAUUAAAUGUUAAUAUAGGAUGAUCCAAGUGA